rnacentral:rRNA from 1 species
CGGGGACMACCACGGGAAACGGUGGCUAAUACCGGAUAUGCCGAAAGGUGAAAGGCUARCUGCCUGAAGAUGARCUCSCGUCUGAUUARCUARUUGGUAGAGUAAGARCCUACCMAGGSGACGAUCAGUAGCUGGUCUGARAGGAUGAUCAGCCACACUGGGACUGARACACGGCCCAGACUCCUACGGGAGGCAGCAGUGGGGAAUUUUCCSCMAUGGGCGAAASCCUGACGGAGCAAUACCSCGUGAGGGAGGAAGGSUCUUGGGUUGUAAACCUCUUUUCUCMAGGAAGAAAAAAAUGACGGUACUUGAGGAAUAAGCAUCSGCUAACUCCGUGSCAGCAGCCGCGGKAAUACGGAGGAUGCAAGCGUUAUCCGGAAUGAUUGGGCGUAAAGCGUCCGCAGGUGGCUGUGUAAGUCUGCUGUUAAAGAAUGAGGCUCAACCUCAUCAAAGCRGUGGAAACUACACSGSUAGAGUGCGUUCGGGGUARAGGGAAUUCCUGGUGUAGCGGUGAAAUGCGUAGAUAUCAGGAAGAACACCGGUGGCGAAAGCGCUCUGCUAGGCCGC